rnacentral:misc_RNA from 1 species
GAUGAAGAACGUAGCGAAAUGCGAUACGUAAUGUGAAUUGCAGAAUUCAGUGAAUCAUCGAGUCUUUGAACGCACAUUGCGCCCCCUGGUAUUCCGGGGGGCAUGCCUGUCCGAGCGUCAUUGCUGCCCUCAAGCCCGGCUUGUGUGUUGGGUCUCGUCCCCCUUCCCGGGGGGACGGGCCCGAAAGGCAGCGGCGGCACCGCGUCCGGUCCUCGAGCGUAUGGGGCUUUGUCACCCGCUCUGUAGGCCCGGCCGGCGCUUGCCGAUCAACCAAAACUUUUUUCCAGGUUGACCUCGGAUCAGGUAGGGAUACCCGCUGAACUUAAGCAUAUCAAUAAGAGGAGGA